UGAGACUCAAAACUGAAAAGUAGACAAUA
rnacentral:piRNA from 1 species